AGUACCCCAUUCCUUGCUGCAAUGUAAUUAUAUUUAAUUACAAGUGUGCCCCUGGUAGUCUUUAACUGAAGGGCACUGACUGGGUCACUGGUGAAGUUCCCCGCAGGAACUGAGUCAGACCCCAUCUCAGGGCCCUGCACAAGAUAGGUGCCUGCUCUAAGGCGUGGACCCUCGCCACAGCCCUGGCCCGUCUUGACGGGCGAGGGUUACUGUACUUGUCCCAACCGUACAGAUGAGAAAGCUGAGACUCAGGGCCAGCAACCCGGGUCCCAGCGGAGCGCCCGGCACACGCCGACACUUCAGCACCAGUGGCGGUGGCCACCACUGUGGGCGGAGAUGGCUGCGACGCGUGCGCAGGUGAAAUGGCCACCAGACCCAGGCUUUCUGGAAUGCAUUCAUUUUCUGCAGUUGAAAGGGACAAUCCCGGAUCUGAAAGAAAGAGCCACAGUGACUCCAAGAGUGGAGCCAGGGCAUGCUGGACACUGCAUAGCUAUGGCCACGUGUGUCACCUCCGAGGGAGAUGUGAGAGAAACGCAGAGGGAUCGCUUGUGACUGUGCCUUCUCGAUGUAUGAUGGACUGUUCUGCUCAAAUAGCAGCAGUAGGGCUUAUGGGAGCCAUUGUACAGUGACAGGAACAUACCAGGACACUGAGAAUAGCGUCAUGUCAUAAGGACUCAGAGCAGGUGGACCCUGCUGUGAUGCACAAAGAGGACCAUGCAAGAUAUGAUAAAGAUCUAUGUCACUGAAUUUUGUUUCUGUAUUUGUAUCUCAGCUUCCCAGAAAUAAAAAAGAAUUCUAACAUUCAUA
rnacentral:lncRNA from 1 species